CUGUUUAGUAAGUUCCUGGUUAAAUCAGACAGCUUAACUGUUUGCUGGCUAGGAAUACUACUAUACUAGGGGGCGGGAGAGGUCUGAGGUACUCCAGGGGUAGCGGUGAAAUGCUAUAAUCCUUGGGGGACCACCAGUGGCGAAGGCGUCAGACUGGAACGCGCCCGACGGUGAGGGACGAAAGCCAGGGGAGCGAACCGGAUUAGAUACCCGGGUAGUCCUGGCUGUAAACUAUGCGUGCUAGGUGUUGGUAUGGCUAUGAGCCGUAUCAGUGCCGUAGAGAAAUCGUUAAGCGCGCCGCCUGGGAA
rnacentral:rRNA from 1 species